GAUGAACGCUGGCGGCGUGCCUAAUACAUGCAAGUCGAGCGAACAGAUGAGGAGCUUGCUCCUCUGACGUUAGCGGCGGACGGGUGAGUAACACGUGGAUAACCUACCUAUAAGACUGGGAUAACUUCGGGAAACCGGAGCUCAUACCGGAUAAUAUAUUGAACCGCAUGGUUCAAUAGUGAAAGACGGUUUUGCUGUCACUUAUAGAUGGAUCCGCGCCGCAUUAGCUAGUUGGUAAGGUAACGGCUUACCAAGGCAACGAUGCGUAGCCGACCUGAGAGGGUGAUCGGCCACACUGGAACUGAGACACGGUCCAGACUCCUACGGGAGGCAGCAGUAGGGAAUCUUCCGCAAUGGGCGCAAGCCUGACGGAGCAACGCCGCGUGAGUGAUGAAGGUCUUCGGAUCGUAAAACUCUGUUAUUAGGGAAGAACAAAUGUGUAAGUAACUAUGCACGUCUUGACGGUACCUAAUCAGAAAGCCACGGCUAACUACGUG
rnacentral:rRNA from 1 species